CACCAAGACAAAUUAUUUUAUUUAAAUAUGUGCCAACUGCAUCAUGUGAUGUUAAAAGAAACUUCAGCCAAUACAAAUCUAUACUACGAUCUAAUCGACCAUCAUUUCUAUUAGAAAAUUUUUAACAUUUAACACAAAAUGCCUAAAUUUUACAUUUUUUUUCUAUUUUAAUGAUUAGUUAAAAGUAUAAAGUUUUAUAUAAUUUUGAAUGCAUAUCAAGGGCGUCAUUUGGGGGAGGGGCAAGAGUAUGCAUUUACCCAACCCUAGAUUUUAAAAUAGCUUUAGCUGGCUGCCAUGGAUCAACUCUACAACUACUACAGGCUGUAAAAUAACAUACAUAUCAUUACCCGUUUUUUAGGAUUAGAAUAUAAUAAAAAUGAAAAUGCAGCAAUUUCAUGAUUGAAUAAAAAUGUAGAAUUAUUUAGUAAACUAUAUUAUAUAAUAAAGUAUUUAGGUAGGUACUUACUUUGUACAACUUUUUGUUACCUAUACAGUGGUAAAUAGAAACACAAAGAAGUUCACAAUCCUUUAACUAUAAGUUUUUAAUAUUUUUUUAAAAC